AGAAUACGAGAAGUGCUCUACAAUAAAGGGGAGGAUGGUACAUCACUUGGUAGGCUUGUGCUGGAGGACUGGGGAAGACAAACCAGCUGAAGCAGGACUUGAAUGACAUGGCAUUUCACAAGUAGAGAACUGCGGGGAGCUGAAAGAAGGUCAUCGUGGGAUGAUGUUAGAGGCCUGUCAAAAAAACCUGUCAGCUGCAAAGGCGAUAAGGGGGGCAGUUAAAAGAAGAUACUGGAGCCUUAAGCUUCUUAAUGUGCCAAGAAUCAAUCCCAUGAAAGCAAACAACUUGAAAAAGGGUUAUACGUAUUUAGGAAAUCUCUGAGGCUCCCUUCCUGCUCUGCUCGAGCUGGAGCGAGUGCUCAAGUUUUCUCACCCUAAUGACCCCUGAAGCAGCCCUGAGGGAUUGCAAAACAAGGCCGUUACACAAGGCAGCUUGCUAAUUGAGAAGUUGAUCGGGGGUAGAGAAAUCCUGCUUUACCACGUUAAGUGUCGAAAUCAAGCAUGACUAGAUUGACGUCGCCAAAUCACCGUCUGGAGGCCACUCCACGCCAGGAGCAGCAGGGCUUUUCACACCUGAUAGGCCCUCACUCUAUCUACAUCAAG
ensembl:lncRNA novel transcript